rnacentral:rRNA from 1 species
ACGGGGUGCAGCAGGCGCGAACACUUUACAAUGCGGGAAACCGCGAUAAGGGAACCCCGAGUGCCAGCAUCAAAUGUUGGCUGUCCAGAUGAUUAAAAAUCAUUUGUUAGCAAGGGCCGAGCAAGACCGGUGCCAGCCGCCGCGGUAACACCGGCGGCCCGAGUGGUAGCCGUUUUUAUUGGGUCUAAAGGGUCCGUAGCCGGCCUGAUAAGUCCUUUGGGAAAUCUGGCAGCUUAACUGUCAGGCUUCUAAGGGAUACUGUCAGGCUUGGGACCGGAAGAGGUAAGGGGUACUCCAGGGGUAGGAGUGAAAUCUUGUAAUCCCUGGGGGACCAUCUGUGGCGAAGGCGCCUUACCAGAACGGGUCCGACGGUGAGGGACGAAAGCUAGGGGAGCAAACCGGAUUAGAUACCCGGGUAGUCCUAGCUGUAAACGAUGCUCGCUAGGUGUCAGACACGGUGCGACCGUGUUUGGUGCCGCAGGGAAGCCGUUAAGCGAGCCACCUGGAAGUACGUCGCAAGGC